rnacentral:rRNA from 1 species
AUUGAACGCUGGCGGCAGGCUUAACACAUGCAAGCCGAGCGGAGAUGAGGUGCUUGCACCUUAUCUUAGCGGCGGACGGGUGAGUAAUGCUUAGGAAUCUGCCUAUUAGUGGGGGACAACAUUCCGAAAGGAAUGCUAAUACCGCAUACGUCCUACGGGAGAAAGCAGGGGAUCUUCGGACCUUGCGCUAAUAGAUGAGCCUAAGUCGGAUUAGCUAGUUGGUGGGGUAAAGGCCUACCAAGGCGACGAUCUGUAGCGGGUCUGAGAGGAUGAUCCGCCACACUGGGACUGAGACACGGCCCAGACUCCUACGGGAGGCAGCAGUGGGGAAUAUUGGACAAUGGGGGGAACCCUGAUCCAGCCAUGCCGCGUGUGUGAAGAAGGCCUUAUGGUUGUAAAGCACUUUAAGCGAGGAGGAGGCUACUGAGACUAAUACUCUUGGAUAGUGGACGUUACCCGCAGAAUAAGCACCGGCUAACUCUGUGCCAGCCGCCGCAGUAAGAC